rnacentral:rRNA from 1 species
AUUGAACGCUGGCGGCAUGCCUUACACAUGCAAGUCGAACGGCAGCACGGGUGCUUGCACCUGGUGGCGAGUGGCGAACGGGUGAGUAAUACAUCUGGACAUGUCCUGUAGUGGGGGAUAGCCCGUCGAAAGCCGGAUUAAUACCGCAUACGAACUACGGAUGAAAGCGGGGGACCUUCGGACCUCGCGCUAUAGGGUUGGCCGAUGGCUGAUUAGCUAGUUGGUGGGGUAAAGGCCUACCAAGGCGACGAUCAGUAGCUGGUCUGAGAGGACGACCAGCCACACUGGGACUGAGACACGGCCCAGACUCCUACGGGAGGCAGCAGUGGGGAAUUUUGGACAAUGGGCGAAAGCCUGAUCCAGCAAUGCCGCGUGUGUGAAGAAGGCCUUCGGGUUGUAAAGCACUUUUGUCAGGAAAGAAAUCCUUGGCCCUAAUACGGUCGGGGGAUGACGGUACCGGAAGAAUAAGCACCGGCUAACUACGUG